rnacentral:pre_miRNA from 14 species
UUCUCAAAGUCCUAGCCAGAACAAUUGAAAGACCCCCAGAGCAGGGAGACCCUCACUCAAGUCUCGGGAUGACGAGACCCCCCCCCAAGAACUCAUGUAAGA